GUGAUAGUAGCUCAAUUGGUUAGAGCACCGGGUUGUGGUCCCGGAGGUUGUGGGUUCAAGUCCCAUCUAUCACCCA
rnacentral:tRNA from 1 species